rnacentral:rRNA from 1 species
GUCCUCUUGGAUUAUAUUUGGAGGUCUGGCCUGCUCACUGACAAGUUUUAAAGAGCCGCGGUAUUUUGACCGUGCAAAGGUAGCAUAAUCAUUAGUCUCUUAAUUAGGGGCUGGAAUGAAUGGCUUGACGAGAAAUUAACUGUCUCUUAUUAAAUAAUAGAAUUUAACUUUUGAGUUAAAAGGCUUAAAUUUUUCUUAAAGACGAGAAGACCCUAUAGAGCUUGACAUUUUAUUUUAAUAUAAUUUUUAGAUAGUUUUUUUAUAUUUUAAGAUAAUGUUUUGUUGGGGUGACAUGAAGAAUAAAUAAACUCUUCAUUAUAAAAUCAUUGAUUUAUGUUUAUUUUGAUCCAUAAUUUAUGAUCAUAAGAUUAAGUUACCUUAGGGAUAACAGCGUAAUUGUUUUUGAGAGCUCAUAUUGACAAAGCAGAUUGCGACCUCGAUGUUGGAUUAAGAAUAAUUUUGGGUGCAGGAGCCCAGUAAUUAGGUCUGUUCGACCUUUAAAUUCUU